UGGAUCACCUCCUAACAGGGAGACAACAAAAUGUUAAAUAUUAAUUUUGUCACCUUAGGUCGAUCGGUAUCUCACAUUCUUAAUUUAUUUAAGGAUUUUAUUUCCUAAGUUUUUUCUAGGUCACACCCAUUACUUUUCCUGGGCCAUUAGCUCAGGUGGUUAGAGCGCACCCCUGAUAAGGGUGAGGUCCCUGGUUCAAGUCCAGGAUGGCCCAUAUCUCUAUGUUGGGGGUAUAGCUCAGUUGGUAGAGCGCCUGCUUUGCAAGCAGGAUGUCAGCGGUUCGAGUCCGCUUACCUCCACUGAUUACCACCUCUUCCAUGAUUUUCGAAGGAAAAUGUUUUGAGUUGUGAUCAAAUUCUGAAAGAAUCUAGCUUCCUAAUGAAAUCAUUAAGAUGCUGGACUCAUUGAAUUAUUUUCAUUGUUUUCAGAGAACCUUGACAACUGCAUAGAUUAUUUUUAAAGACAAUAAGCAUCUUUAAUGAUGCAGAUUUAUUAUUUGUGCAAAUGCAUUAAAUAACAAUUCUAUUAAGCUGAUGCUUCAAUUUUUGAAGUUAUUGGUCAAGCUACAAAGGGCUCACGGAGGAUACCUAGGCACACAGAGGCGAUGAAGG
rnacentral:tRNA from 1 species